rnacentral:rRNA from 1 species
UACAGAGGGUGCAAGCGUUGUCCGGAAUCAUUGGGCGUAAAGCGCGUGUAGGCGGCUCGAUAAGUCCGCUCUGAAAGUCCAGGGCUCAACCCUGGGAUGCGGGUGGAUACUGUCGGGCUCGAGUCCGGAAGAGGCGAGUGGAAUUCCCGGUGUAGCGGUGAAAUGCGCAGAUAUCGGGAGGAACACCAAUGGCGAAGGCAGCUCGCUGGGACGUGACUGACGCUGAGACGCGAAAGCGUGGGGAGCAAACAGG